CCGUAGCCCAAGAGAUCGGGAUAACACCUGGAAACAGAUGCUAAUACCGGAUAACAACAGAUGAUGCCUAUCAACUGUUUAAAAGAUGGUUCUGCUAUCACUCUUGGAUGGACCUGCGGUGCAUUAGCUAGUUGGUAGGGUAACGGCCUACCAAGGCGAUGAUGCAUAGCCGAGUUGAGAGACUGAUCGGCCACAUUGGGACUGAGACACGGCCCAAACUCCUACGGGAGCAGCAGGC
rnacentral:rRNA from 1 species